AGCUCAGUAUCCGUGAGUAAAGAAGAGGUAUUAGUUCAUAAGAGAUCAGUUUCCUUUAAUGAGCGAGUCAUUGCCAUACCUGAUGUCCAUCCAAGUAGUGAUUUGAGCUGUACACAUUUAUGGUUACAGAGCAGAGUUCCAUUAGGAUGUGUUCCUUCUCAAUCGACAGCGACUGACAAACUUGAGGUACUUCCCCUUAAGGAUGGCAUAAUCACACUUGAUUCCUUGCAAAUCGAGAUAACAGAGAAAGGUCUCACUUAUAUACCCCAGCAUUCUCUGAAGAUCUAUGCAACUUCAAGCAUUUCCACAGGGAUGCGAUGAUUUUUCAAAUUUUUUACAUCAGUCUCACAUAGACAGCGAAAGAUUCAGAAAUAUAAUCUCUUACGAACUCUCUGCAUUUACCAAUGAUGGUUUCGUAUGC